rnacentral:rRNA from 1 species
UACGGGGGGGACAAGCGUUGUUCGGAAUUACUGGGCGUAAAGGGCUCGUAGGUGGCCAACUAAGUCAGACGUGAAAUCCCUCGGCUUAACCGGGGAACUGCGUCUGAUACUGGAUGGCUUGAGUUUGGGAGAGGGACGCGGAAUUCCAGGUGUAGCGGUGAAAUGCGUAGAUAUCUGGAGGAACACCGGUGGCGAAGGCGGCGUCCUGGACCAACACUGACACUGAGGAGCGAAAGCCAGGGGAGCAAACGGG